GGGGCAGCACGGCUCAGGAGGUAGAGCGGUUGGUCUAAGAAUCAGACGGUUCCUGGUUCGAUCCCCGGCUUCUCCA